rnacentral:misc_RNA from 1 species
GUGAAUCAUCGAAUUUUUGAACGCAAAUUGCACUCUCCUCGAAGAGGAUGCCUGUUUGAGUGUCAGCCUAUAAAAAAUCGACAUCGUUGCUGUUUCGCGGUGGCGUUCGUCGGAACUUGGGUCAUCUUAAGUCCUUUUGAUUUAAGCGACUUAAAAUUUUCUUUUGUUUACAUGAACGUUCCUAAGGUCUAUUUCUUUACACGUUAAAGGUAUCGUUUUUUACUUGACGUGGCCGUCAUAUCGUAA